CAUCGCUCCGCCACUUCACGCUCCCCUCCCUGGUGUCUCCUGAACAGCUGAUCGUCAGUGAGUAGGAGGUACUGGUGGGGAGGGGGAGGAGCUGAUUGGUGGAGCUGAUGACAGUUGAUCAGUGGGUGGCUGGAGGGAGCUGAGCACCCACUUUUUUUUCUGUGGGUACUCCAACAUUGGAGCACCCACAGAGUUGGCACCUGUGCUUGUAACUGUAUAAGAUCAGAAGAAAUGGCACAAGUUGUUAUCUUUACAGAGGGGAGACUCCUGCUGCAAGGUGUCUCAUGAAGGGUGGAUCCCAGAUUUCUGAACUGGACAAGCGCUGUAAGAAUUAACCAUGGGUUGUCUUCACGUCUGUCUGUAGGAGAGAGGUCUGCCUAAGAAUGAAGGGAAGAAAGAUUUGUUUUCCUCAAACACAUUCUUUUAGCAGCAUGGUGUGAAAAGAUGGAGUGGACACUCAGAGGUGGGGAAUGGAUGCAUAGAGAGACAAGUGACUUCCCAAGAUCACACAGGAAGUCUGUGAUGGAACAGGGACUUGAUCCCUGGUCUCCAAAUCAUAGGCAGCCACUGGACCAUCCUGCCUCUCUCUGUUUACAUGUGUAACUGUCCACAGUUUUAGACUGAAGCAAAACGAGUAAGAUUUGUACAUACCCAGUCAUCCAAUGUUAUCAGUCAUUCACUUUACACUCAACAACAUAAACUAAAGAGUAAGGUCCCAGUCAGCUGAAACGUCAGGUGAGAUUAGUAAGAAGAGACCAAUUAGAAUUCCAAUCUGCUAUAAUAUUAAUAGAUUCUUAGAUUCCAAGGCCAGAAGGAACCUCUGCGAUCCUCUGACCUCCUGUAUAACACGGGCCAUAGAACUUCCCCAAUAUAAUUCCUAGAGAAAAUCUUUUAGAAAAACAUCCAGUUUUGAUUUUAAAAUUGUCAGUAAUUGAGAAUCCACUACGACCUUUGGUAUUCCAACGGUCAAUUACCCUCAUUGUCAAAAAUUUAUGCCUUAUUUCUAAUCUGAAUUUUGUCUAGCUUCAACUUGCAGCCAUUGUAUUGUUGUACCUUUCUCUGCUAGAUUGAAGUGCCCAUUAUUAAAUAUUUAUUGCCAUGUACAUACUUACAGACAAUAAUCAAGUCACUCUUUAACCUUCACUUUGUUAAGCUAAAUACAUUGAGCUUAGUCUAAGGUAUGUUUUCUAAUCCUUUAAUAAUUCUUGUGGCUCUUC